rnacentral:tRNA from 1 species
UGCUCUGAGAGAUUUAGUCUCAUCUUUGGUUUACAAAACCAGGGCUUUGGUUAAUUUAAGCUAUAAGAGC